GGACGGAAUGUUGCUGUUUCUGCUGCUGGAAGCGCUGAGCUUUAGCUCGGCCACCAAGAAUCCCUGCGUGGUCGAGUUUGGUAGCAACUCCUCCGGAGUUGGCGUGUUUGACGAAACGUUCUCAAGCACUCCGCAGUGCUCGUACUAUGGAGUUUGUUACGCGGAAGCUCCCGUUGGAUCGUUGAGGUUUAUGAAUCCAGUUCUUCACGACCCGCGAGGACCGCAGAAUUACACCAAGCAGGGUACCAUGUGUCCGCAGAUGAAUACUCACAACGGAAGCAUCAUGGGCGUUGAGGAUUGUCUUGUGAUGGACAUCAUUACGCCGUUUGUACCAGGACCAUCAAAGCCAACCAAACUCCCGGUUUUAGUGUACAUCCACGGUGGAUCCUUCGUGAAUGGAUAUUCCGGACUGGGUCUCUGGAAGGGUGCCGAUCUUCUAAUCGAUAAAAAUGUCAUCGUAGUCAGUAUCAACUACCGCCUUAAAGUUCUAGGAUUCCUUCGCCAUCCUGAGUUCAACAUCACCGGCAACUUUGGUUUGAAAGACCAACGAACUGCGCUGCUGUGGAUCCAGAAGUACAUCCACCUCUUCGGCGGUGAUCCCACUCGGGUAACACUCAUGGGACACAGCGCCGGAGGCGCCUCGGUGAUCUACCAUCUGUACGCCAAGACUUCUAAGGGACUAUUCCAGCAGGUGAUUUCGCUCGGCGGGACUAUGAUUGCCCCGUGGGCGCUGAACUACAAACCGCAAGGAAUCACCGCGGAGUUGCUGCGGAGAUUGAACGUGACUUUGCUGGAGGAGCUUCAAAAUAUUGACUACAAAAAGUUGUUCUUCGACGAUCGGUUCGAUUUCAGCUGGUACUUCACCAUGAUACAUGACGGAUUCGUUCCAACGCUGGAAGAUCCAGACGAUCCAGAAGCAUUCAUCACAGUACCACCUCAUACGCUGAUUCUGGACAAACCGGCCAGCGAUGUCCCGUUAAUAGUAGGCCAAACCGCUACCGAGUACAGGUUGAUGCUGAAGUACCUGGAGUUCUUCAUAAUGGGUAGCUACUUCCCGCACAAAUCCUGGCAGCCAAUCUACUACGACAUUGCCAAGUUAGUGCAGAGCAAGAUCAACGCUAGUGACAAGCCCGAUAUCAUCGUACAAUUGGCCAACCUGGCCAGUGGAUAUUACCCGGUUAAACGAACGAUCCAGCAUCUGGUGAGUCAGAGCUCAUCUCCCGUGUACUACUUCCAGUUUGAGUAUGAGGGACGCUUUGGAUACCUGAAAAGGGAUCAGAAUCAAACCAACCAGCAUGGAGCGGCUCACGGCGAUGAGUUGGGGUACAUAUUUUCACCACUUGUGGAGGAUGAAGCAGUUGCUGAUCGGGAGAGAUUCCGGACUGAGUGGAGUGUCCACGAGGAAACUGUUCAGUUGGUGUCGGAUUUCGUGAAAUUUGGAAAUCCUACUCCUCAAGUGGAUAUUCAACCCAAUCUAGUUUGGCCACAGUACAGCGAGAGCGAUUCAACCGAUCGAAAGUAUUUGAACAUCGGACAAAAUUUGGAAAUAAUCCCAGAUACUGACUCUGAAGACGAUUUGUUCAACUUUUACGAACCAAUCUAUGAAUGUUUGUACUAUCACAACUGUGACGAAGUGGAAGUGAUGGUGAAGAGCAUGAAGAGAACUGAAUCAAGUCAGUUUGAUAACAUUGUCAAAAUGAUGUGCAAAAAUGCUGGUAAAAAUGGAGCUGAGAUACCUGACAUGUGCUAUGCAUUUUGAGCAAAUUUCGCUUCUCGAAGCCGUAUGGAACAAACUACCUCAACUCACUUAGAUUACAAUUAUCAAAUAGCUCAAAAAUACAUUUCUCAACUCUAGAUGGUGUCAAACAGCACGAUUUCUCCAUAUGUUACAAAUUUCCCGUUUCCCCAAAAAGCAAAAGUUCGUGAUAUGUGCUUGCAGCAUAUUCGGGUCAAACGAAUAAACCUGGGGCUCUCCCUGGAAACUGGCGAUAAUGGCGAACACGUUUCCAGGCCAUCCAAAAUAUUUAUUUUGUUUUCACCUAUUAAAAAUUUCACCAAACAAUCCUGGGUUAAACAAUAAUGGAUACUUAAAG
rnacentral:misc_RNA from 1 species